rnacentral:rRNA from 1 species
UACGUAGGGGGCUAGCGUUGUCCGGAAUCAUUGGGCGUAAAGCGCGUGUAGGCGGUCCGGUAAGUCCGCUGUGAAAGUCGAGGGCUCAACCUCGAAUGCCGGUGGAUACUGUCGGGCUUGAGUACGGGAGAGGCGAGUGGAAUUCCUGGUGUAGCGGUGAAAUGCGCAGAUAUCAGGAGGAACACCAAUUGCGAAGGCAGCUCGCUGGGACGUAACUGACGCUGAGACGCGAAAGCGUGGGGAGCAAACAGG